UUGGUUGAAGGUUUUUGUGUCUAAUAAUAUAAAAUUAUAAAAUAAUUGGAAAUAACUAUUUUAAUAACUAAUUUAUUAUGGAUAAAUAGUGCAAAAAUAAUAUUCAUAAAGUAAAAUUAAGUAAUUUGUUAAAUAAUGUAAAUUUCUUUUAUUGAGUCUGCCGGUUUUAACAAAGAGGCACAGUCGACAGCGCUGCCUCAGUAGCCGGCUUGUUAUUAGUGUAGAAAAAAUGAAAAGGAAUGCAAAUUAAGACUAAUCAAUGAAAAUUAAUACUAAUUUGUAGUUUGACAAAAACUGAAAGUGCAAGCGUUUUUGGUGAAGAUGGUUUGUUUUGAUUGGAAUACUUGGUUUCUUUUUUGAGGAAAACAAAUGCGUUUAAAGCUACUUCGUAAAUGUAUCGUUAAGAGUAAUCAUCAUCGUACUAGUACUCAAAACAAUGUAUUUAAUGGAUAAGAAAAUGUGAAAUGUGUUAACGCAGGAAUAAAUAAAUACAUACAACAAUGAAAUCUGUUCACGUUAGACGAAGCAAUAAAACUCCAAAUUUCAUGAUUUCUCAUUACUGAUAAGGAUUUUUCAAUUAAGCAUGCAAAUCUUAUAAAGUGGAUGUGAUUAGUGUUUAACUUCUACAUGUUGGAUCAAUUUAAUACCCAGCGAAAAAUAUUGAUUUAUAUAUCCCUAUUAUUUAUAUAUUUGCUAAUAAAAUUGAAUUUUUUUAUAAUACAAAUAUAUAAUAUAA